GCGGGCGUAUCCCAACUGGUAGAGGAGGCGCUCUUAAAAAGCGCUGGGCUCCGGCCCGUGUGGGUUCGAUCCCCACCGCCCGCA
rnacentral:tRNA from 1 species